rnacentral:rRNA from 1 species
CGAAAUGCGAUAAGUAAUGNGAAUUGCAGAAUUCAGUGAAUCAUCGAAUCUUUGAACGCACCUUGCG